rnacentral:rRNA from 1 species
UACGUAGGCAGCGAGCGUUGUUCGGAGUUACUGGGCGUAAAGGGUGUGUAGGCGGUUGUUUAAGUUUGGUGUGAAAUCUCCCGGCUCAACUGGGAGGGUGCGCCGAAUACUGAAUGACUUCGAGUGCGGGAGAGGAGAGUGGAAUUCCUGGUGUAGCGGUGAAAUGCGUAGAUAUCAGGAGGAACACCGGUGGUGUUGACGGCUCUCUGGACCGUAACUGACGCUGAGACACGAAAGCGUGGGUAGCAAACAGG